rnacentral:rRNA from 1 species
UACGUAGGGGGCAAGCGUUGUCCGGAUUUAUUGGGCGUAAAGAGCUCGUAGGCGGCUUGAUUAGUCGGAUGUGAAACCUCCAGGCUCAACCUGGAGUCGCCAUCCGAUACUGUCAUGGCUAGAGUCCGGUAGGGGCCCACGGAAUUCCUGGUGUAGCGGUGAAAUGCGCAGAUAUCAGGAGGAACACCAAUGGCGAAGGCAGCUCGCUGGGACGUGACUGACGCUGAGACGCGAAAGCGUGGGGAGCAAACAGG